CACGUAGGGCGCGAGCGUUGUCCGGAAUUAUUGGGCGUAAAGAGCUCGUAGGCGGCCUGUUGCGUCCGCUGUGAAAGCCCGGGGCUUAACCCCGGGUCUGCAGUGGAUACGGGCAGGCUAGAGGUAGGUAGGGGAGAAUGGAAUUCCCGGUGUAGCGGUGAAAUGCGCAGAUAUCAGGAGGAACACCGGUGGCGAAGGCGGUUCUCUGGGCCUUACUGACGCUGAGGAGCGAAAGCGUGGGGAGCGAACAGG
rnacentral:rRNA from 1 species